CGCAAUCUUGUUGUCCCAUAUUGUUAGCCUCUUAUUCUCGAAAGACUUUUCGGCGAACUGGGUUGUUGUUCCUGUCAUUGUAUUAACCAGGAACGUUCCUAGAUCCGAGCUUUGAAAGAACUUGAAUCUGGACUUCAUCUUGUCCAUCUCUGUGAGACAGACCCAUAGGCCCCAUGCUCGUCUCGUGGAGAUUUGAUCCUCCGUAAAUGUUGAGGCGAUUGGGACUUGAAAAUCAGGAACUUUGAUUCGGUUCAAGGCUCCUGUAUCUGGUCUUCGAAGCUUGAUAAAAUGGAAAGCUUCAUAGACUCCCUUCCCGACGGGUUCUGGUGCUGCGCUGAAGAAGUACAGUUCCAGAACAUCUCCUCGUUUAAGGGACUCGUUGUUCUCCCAGGCU
rnacentral:lncRNA from 1 species